GAUCAUUAAAAGAAUCAUGAUUGGUGCCUCAGCAUCCGCCAUGAAAUACCCUCACCGUGUAAUCAUAAUACCCGUUGCUUCCGCGGAGCGUCCUCCGGGAUGGGCCCUCUUGACCGAGGGUCCCCGCGGGAGGUCUUGUAACAUCGUGUUAACCUGUGAUUGUCUGUCUGAUCAUUUAUGAGAAUAAACAUUAAAACUUUCAACAACGGAUCUCUUGGUUCUCGCAUCGAUGAAGAACGCAGCGAAAUGCGAAAAGUAGUGUGAAUUGCAGAAUUCAGUGAAUCAUCGAAUCUUUGAACGCACAUUGCGCCUCCCGGUAUUCCGGGAGGCAUGCCUGUCCGAGCGUAGAACAAGCAAACUCGAGCAUUUUUUUGCUCGGUCUUGGGGGAGGGGCGUCCGCCGCGACGUCCCCCCCCGAAAUUCAAUGGCGGGGUGCCUCCGUGGGAAGGGCGUGAUAAGUCUUAUGAAGCAAGUCGCUCUGCCCCUGAAGCAUCCUGGCCCUCAAUCCCCAGUCUUCUUCAAGUCAACCUCGGAUCAGGUAGGGAUACCCGCUGAACUUAAGCAUAUCAAUAAGCGGAGGAAAAGAAACCAACAGGGAUUGCCUUAGUAACUGCGAGUGAAGCGGCAAGAGCUCAAAUUUGAAAUCUGGCGCCAUCAAGGCGUCCGAGUUGUAAUUUGGAGGGGCAUCUUCGGGACCGGCACCCGUCCUAAGUUCCUUGGAACAGGACGUCGUAGAGGGUGAGAAUCCCGUUUACGGGCGGGUUGCCGGCUCCAUUGUGAGGUGCUUCCGAAGAGUCGAGUUGUUUGGGAAUGCAGCUCAAAAUGGGUGGUAAAUUUCAUCUAAAGCUAAAUACGGGCGAGAGACCGAUAGCGCACAAGUAGAGUGAUCGAAAGAUGAAAAGCACUUUGAAAAGAGAGUUAAAAAGUACGUGAAAUUGUUGAAAGGGAAGCGCUUGCGACCAGACUCGGUCGCCGGGGGCCAUCCGGGUUUCGGCCCGGUGAAGCUGCCGGCGAUUGGGCCAGCAUCGGUUCCGACGGUGGGAUAAAAGGCGGGGGAACGUAGCUGUCUUCGGGCAGUGUUAUAGCCCUCGUCACAAUGCCGCCAGUCGGGACCGAGGACCGCG
rnacentral:rRNA from 1 species